GCGAUGAGCUGAAUUGCAUAAGUCGAGUUGACACGCCUUUUGGCAAGGCACUAUGUGGAGUGCUGUCUCUCGCCGCAAUACGCAAAAGACGUCCUU
rnacentral:sRNA from 1 species